rnacentral:rRNA from 1 species
AUUGAACGCUGGCGGCAGGCUUAACACAUGCAAGUCGAGCGAGCGGCGGACGGGUGAGUAAUGUCUGGGAAACUGCCUGAUGGAGGGGGAUAACUACUGGAAACGGUAGCUAAUACCGCAUACCAUCAGAUGUGCCCAGAUGGGAUUAGCUAGUAGGUGGGGUAAUGGGUCACCUAGGCGACGCUCCCUAGCUAGUCUGAGAGGAUGACCAGCCACACUGGAACUGAGACAAGGUCCAGCCUCUGGAGGGAGGGCGUAGUGGGUAAAAUAGCAGAAGGGGCGCCAGCCUGAUGCAUCGAUGCCGCGAGUGCGAAGAUGGCCUUAGGGUUGUAAAGAACUUCCAGCGAGGAGGCGUUACUUUCAGAAGAAGAACCGGCUAACUCCGUGCCAUCAGCCGCGGUAAUAC